rnacentral:tRNA from 2 species
GGAACUGUGGCUCAAUGGUAGAGUGCUCACCUAAUGUGUGAGGCACUGGGUUCGAGUCUCAGCACCA